UACCUAGUUGAUCCUCCCAGUAGUCAUAUGCUUAUCUCAAAGAUUAAGCCAUGCAUGUCUAAGUAUGAACUAAUUCAGACUGUGAAACUGCAGAUGGCUCAUUAAAUCAGUUAUAGAUUCUUUGAUGGUACCCUACUACUCGGAUAACCAUAGUAAUUCUAAUGCUAAUACGUGCAUCAAGUCUUGACUCUUUGGAAGGGAUGCAUUUAUUAGAUAAAAGGCCGGCGCGGGCUUGCCCGCUUCUCUAGUGAAUCAUGAUAACUUGAUGGAUCGCACAACCCUUGUGCCGGCGAUGCUUCAUUCAAAUUUCUUCCCUAUCAAAUUUUGAGGGUAGGAUAGAGGCCUACCAUCUUGGUGAUGGGUAACGAAGAAUUAGGGUUCAAUUCUAGAGAGGGAGCCUGAGAAACGACUACCACAUCCAAGGAAGGAAACAUGCACGCAAAUUUCCCAAUCCUAACAUGGGGAGGUAGUGACAAUAAAUAACAAUACUGGGCUCAUCGAGUCUGGUAAUUGGAAUGAGUACAAUCUAAAUCCCUUAACGAGGAUCCAUUGGA
rnacentral:ncRNA from 1 species